rnacentral:rRNA from 1 species
AGGACGAACGCUGGCGGCGUGCUUAACACAUGCAAGUCGAGCGGUAAGGCCUUUCGGGGUACACGAGCGGCGAACGGGUGAGUAACACGUGGGCGAUCUGCCCUGCACUUCGGGAUAAGCCUGGGAAACUGGGUCUAAUACCGGAUAUGACCUCCUAUCGCAUGGUGGGUGGUGGAAAGAUUUAUCGGUGCAGGAUCGGGCCCGCGGCCUAUCAGUCUUGGUUGGUGGGGUAAUCGGACCUACCGAGGCGACGGACGGGUAGCCGACCGUGAGAGGGUGACCGGCCACACGUGGGACUGGACGACGACCGGCCCAGACUCCGUACGGGAGGCAG